GCGGACGUGGUCUAGCGGUUAUGACUGUAGGUUCCCAACCUGCAAACCCGGAUUCGAGUUCCGGCGUCCGCA
rnacentral:tRNA from 2 species